AUUGAACGCUGGCGGCAUGCUUUACACAUGCAAGUCGAACGGCAGCGCGGGCUUCGGCCUGGCGGCGAGUGGCGAACGGGUGAGUAAUGCAUCGGAACGUGCCCAGUAGUGGGGGAUAGCCCGGCGAAAGCCGGAUUAAUACCGCAUACGACCUGAGGGUGAAAGCGGGGGACCGAAAGGCCUCGCGCUAUUGGAGCGGCCGAGGUCGGAUUAGCUAGUUGGUGGGGUAAAGGCUUACCAAGGCGACGAUCCGUAGCUGGUCUGAGAGGACGACCAGCCACACUGGAACUGAGACACGGCCCAGACUCCUACGGGAGGCAGCAGUGGGGAAUUUUGGACAAUGGGGGCAACCCUGAUCCAGCCAUGCCGCGUGCGGGAAGAAGGCCUUCGGGUUGUAAACCGCUUUUGUUCGGGAAGAAAUCCUCUGGGCUAAUACCUCGGGGGGAUGACGGUACCGGAAGAAUAAGCACCGGCUAACUACGUG
rnacentral:rRNA from 1 species